UGGGGAAUCAUGGUCAAUGGGCGAAAGCCUGAACCUGCGACGCCGCGUGAGUGAUGAAGGUCGUAAGAUCGUAAAACCCUGUCGUCAGGGACGAAGGUUGUAUGCCUAACAGGUGUGCAGCUUGACGGUACCUGGAGAGGAAGCCCCGGCUAACUCUGUGCCAGCAGCCGCGGUAAUACAGAGGGGGCAAGCGUUAUUCGGAAUUAUUGGGCGUAAAGGGCGCGUAGGCGGUGUCUUAAGUGAGAUGUGUAAUCCCCGAGCUUAACUUGGGAACUGCAUCUCAGACUGGGGCGCUAGAGUGCUGGAGAGGGUGGUAGAAUUCCACGUGUAGCGGUGAAAUGCGUAGAGAUGUGGAGGAAUACCAGUGGCGAAGGCGGCCACCUGGACAGUAACUGACGCUGAGGCGCGAAAGCGUGGGGAGCAAACA
rnacentral:rRNA from 1 species